ensembl:lncRNA
CCUCGAGCCUGGAAUAUUAUACGUACUUGCACCCUCACUUGUUUAUUUAUUAACAGAGGAAUUGUCUGCUUCACUUGCUAUCACUGAGGCUUGACAGCUGCACAGUCCAGGUGAUGCAUGAGCCAAUAUGUGGACUGGAGAGGGUUCAACGUCGCACAUCAAUAUGAAAAUCAGUUUCUGGCAGAAAUAGCCCAAGGCAGUACAUCCAGCACCAAAAAGUGACUAAUCUUAGGGUCAUAAACCCUGCACAAGACGCCCAGGGUCUUUUUUAGAGAGACAGAAUUCAGAAAUGCCAUCAUUUUCCAUUCCACAAGCCAAGGACCUCAUUCCUUGCAUUAGCAGAUUUCUUUUAAUAGUGUGUGAAAUGGCAGGGUUGCCAGAACUAAGCAAGAGCAAAUAAAAGAGAGAGAGGGGGGGGAUAGUGAAAGGUGACCUUAGUCUCUGGAGCGCCAGAUUAAAACUUCAAAUGCUCAGCCAGUGGCUCUCCUAAAGAAGCAAAAAGACCAUAGGCACAAUGUUACAGUAGAUGGAGGUGGCUGCCAAAUAUCAUCUUCUUACAGAAAGGGAUUAUGUAUUUCACAAGGCAGUGGUGGUCCCAUUGGUGGGAAUAUUAGUUCGUGUAUUGUUCUCCAGAUCUGCAUAUAUUUCUGUUUAUUUUUUUUUUCUUUUCAUGACUUUCAGAACUUCUUAGCAGUAGUCUGGUUUUAAAAAGGAGACUUAUUGUAUGUGCAAUUUUUUUACUUUUUCAUUUUUGGAUACAGUAAAUUUACAUACAUGUGUAUUUGGCUCAGUGUACUGUAAAUAAAAAAUACCAUUAAGUUAUUGGUAGUGCAACACAUGUUUUAAUGGUAGGCCUACUAACAAUAGAAGUCUGAUAUAAGGAUAAUAUAGAAAUUAAAAUCACAAGGGACUGUUUUUUACUGCUACUUACUGUAUUUGUGUACCAAGAUGAUCCUUCACAAUGUCACAAUGUAAAAUGUACAUUUCUGGAAAAUGGAUUUCUCAUAUGCUGAUCAGCCAGCCCCCAAAUUGUUUUCAACUUACUGCCACCCCUUUGAAUGACUGGGCAUCACAUUACGUAGGUGAUCAGGCAGAAUUCUCGAUUCACUCCAGUGGCUCGAUAAUAACUCUGCUCACUUAAUUACUCAGUUUCCCUGACAAAAAAAAAAGAAUGAAGUAAUUUUACUCAUGAGG